rnacentral:RNase_P_RNA from 1 species
GGAGUUGGCUGGACAGUCGCUGUAUCGCAUUGGCGGUAUGGAGGAAAGUCCGGGCUCCAUAGGGCAGAGUGCCAGGUAACGCCUGGGGGGCGUGAGCCUACGGAAAGUGCAGCAGAGAGCAGACCGCCUAAGCGCGCAAGCGCCGGUAAGGGUGAAAGGGUGCGGUAAGAGCGCACCGCGCGACUGGCAACAGUUCGUGGCAUGGUAAACCCCACUCGGAGCAAGACCAAAUAGGAACCCAUCGGUGCGGCCCGCACUGGGUUCGGGUAGGUUGCUACAGGCAGUCAGUGAUGGCUGUCGCAGAGGAAUGACUGUUCUCGACAGAACCCGGCUUACAGGCCAACUCCUAUU